rnacentral:rRNA from 1 species
CAAUAGCGUAUAUUAAAGUUGUUGCAGUUAAAAAGCUCGUAGUUGGAUUUGUGGCGUACGGUGGGUUCCAGGCACUUGUUGUCUGAGUAACUUGCUGUUGCCAUCCUUGGGUGGAACCUGUGUGGCAUUAGGUUGUCGUGCAGGGGAUGCCCAUCAUUUACUGUGAAAAAAUUAGAGUGUUCAAAGCAGGCUUAUGCCGUUGAAUAUAUUAGCAUGGAAUAAUGAGAUAGGACUUUUUUGCUAUUUUGUUGGUUUGCGCAAAGAGGUAAUGAUUAAUAGGGACAGUUGGGGGUAUUCGUAUUCCAUUGUCAGAGGUGAAAUUCUUGGAUUUUUGGAAGACGAACUACUGCGAAAGCAUUUACCAAGGAUGUUUUCAUUAA